AUUGAACGCUGGCGGCAUGCUUUACACAUGCAAGUCGAACGGUAACAGGCCUUCGGGUGCUGACGAGUGGCGAACGGGUGAGUAAUGCAUCGGAACGUGCCCAGAGGUGGGGGAUAACGCAGCGAAAGCUGUGCUAAUACCGCAUGUGAUCUGAGGAUGAAAGCGGGGGACCAGGCAGCAAUGUUUGGCCUCGCGCCUUUGGAGCGGCCGAUGUCAGAUUAGGUAGUUGGUGGGGUAAAGGCCUACCAAGCCGAUGAUCUGUAGCUGGUCUGAGAGGACGACCAGCCACACUGGGACUGAGACACGGCCCAGACUCCUACGGGAGGCAGCAGUGGGGAAUUUUGGACAAAGGGCGCAAGCCUGAUCCAGCAAUGCCGCGUGCGGGAAGAAGGCCUUCGGGUUGUAAACCGCUUUUGUACGGAACGAAAAGGCUCUGGCUAAUACCUGGGGCUGAUGACGGUACCGUAAGAAUAAGCACCGGCUAACUACGUG
rnacentral:rRNA from 1 species